rnacentral:rRNA from 1 species
GGUUAAGCGACUAAGCGUACACGGUGGAUGCCCUGGCAGUCAGAGGCGAUGAAGGACGUGCUAAUCUGCGAUAAGCGUCGGUAAGGUGAUAUGAACCGUUAUAACCGGCGAUUUCCGAAUGGGGAAACCCAGUGUGAUUCGUCACACUAUCAUUAACUAAAUCCAUAGGUUAAUGAGGCGAACCGGGGGAACUGAAACAUCUAAGUACCCCGAGGAAAAGAAAUCAACCGAGAUUCCCCCAGUAGCGGCGAGCGAACGGGGAGCAGCCCAGAGCCUGAAUCAGUGUGUGUGUUAGUGGAAGCGUCUGGAAAGGCGCGCGAUACAGGGUGACAGCCCCGUACACAAAAAUGCACAUGCUGUGAGCUCGAUGAGUAGGGCGGGACACGUGGUAUCCUGUCUGAAUAUGGGGGGACCAUCCUCCAAGGCUAAAUACUCCUGACUGACCGAUAGUGAACCAGUACCGUGAGGGAAAGGCGAAAAGAACCCCGGCGAGGGGAGUGAAAAAGAACCUGAAACCGUGUACGUACAAGCAGUGGGAGCACGCUUAGGCGUGUGACUGCGUACCUUUUGUAUAAUGGGUCAGCGACUUAUAUUCUGUAGCAAGGUUAACCGAAUAGGGGAGCCGAAGGGAAACCGAGUCUUAACUGGGCGUUAAGUUGCAGGGUAUAGACCCGAAACCCGGUGAUCUAGCCAUGGGCAGGUUGAAGGUUGGGUAACACUAACUGGAGGACCGAACCGACUAAUGUUGAAAAAUUAGCGGAUGACUUGUGGCUGGGGGUGAAAGGCCAAUCAAACCGGGAGAUAGCUGGUUCUCCCCGAAAGCUAUUUAGGUAGCGCCUCGUGAAUUCAUCUCCGGGGGUAGAGCACUGUUUCGGCAAGGGGGUCAUCCCGACUUACCAACCCGAUGCAAACUGCGAAUACCGGAGAAUGUUAUCACGGGAGACACACGGCGGGUGCUAACGUCCGUCGUGAAGAGGGAAACAACCCAGACCGCCAGCUAAGGUCCCAAAGUCAUGGUUAAGUGGGAAACGAUGUGGGAAGGCCCAGACAGCCAGGAUGUUGGCUUAGAAGCAGCCAUCAUUUAAAGAAAGCGUAAUAGCUCACUGGUCGAGUCGGCCUGCGCGGAAGAUGUAACGGGGCUAAACCAUGCACCGAAGCUGCGGCAGCGACGCUGAUGCGUUGUUGGGUAGGGGAGCGUUCUGUAAGCCUGCGAAGGUGUGCUGUGAGGCAUGCUGGAGGUAUCAGAAGUGCGAAUGCUGACAUAAGUAACGAUAAAGCGGGUGAAAAGCCCGCUCGCCGGAAGACCAAGGGUUCCUGUCCAACGUUAAUCGGGGCAGGGUGAGUCGACCCCUAAGGCGAGGCCGAAAGGCGUAGUCGAUGGGAAACAGGUUAAUAUUCCUGUACUUGGUGUUACUGCGAAGGGGGGACGGAGAAGGCUAUGUUGGCCGGGCGACGGUUGUCCCGGUUUAAGCGUGUAGGCUGGUUUUCCAGGCAAAUCCGGAAAAUCAAGGCUGAGGCGUGAUGACGAGGCACUACGGUGCUGAAGCAACAAAUGCCCUGCUUCCAGGAAAAGCCUCUAAGCAUCAGGUAACAUCAAAUCGUACCCCAAACCGACACAGGUGGUCAGGUAGAGAAUACCAAGGCGCUUGAGAGAACUCGGGUGAAGGAACUAGGCAAAAUGGUGCCGUAACUUCGGGAGAAGGCACGCUGAUAUGUAGGUGAAGUCCCUCGCGGAUGGAGCUGAAAUCAGUCGAAGAUACCAGCUGGCUGCAACUGUUUAUUAAAAACACAGCACUGUGCAAACACGAAAGUGGACGUAUACGGUGUGACGCCUGCCCGGUGCCGGAAGGUUAAUUGAUGGGGUCAGCGCAAGCGAAGCUCUUGAUCGAAGCCCCGGUAAACGGCGGCCGUAACUAUAACGGUCCUAAGGUAGCGAAAUUCCUUGUCGGGUAAGUUCCGACCUGCACGAAUGGCGUAAUGAUGGCCAGGCUGUCUCCACCCGAGACUCAGUGAAAUUGAACUCGCUGUGAAGAUGCAGUGUACCCGCGGCAAGACGGAAAGACCCCGUGAACCUUUACUAUAGCUUGACACUGAACAUUGAGCCUUGAUGUGUAGGAUAGGUGGGAGGCUUUGAAGUGUGGACGCCAGUCUGCAUGGAGCCGACCUUGAAAUACCACCCUUUAAUGUUUGAUGUUCUAACGUUGACCCGUAAUCCGGGUUGCGGACAGUGUCUGGUGGGUAGUUUGACUGGGGCGGUCUCCUCCUAAAGAGUAACGGAGGAGCACGAAGGUUGGCUAAUCCUGGUCGGACAUCAGGAGGUUAGUGCAAUGGCAUAAGCCAGCUUGACUGCGAGCGUGACGGCGCGAGCAGGUGCGAAAGCAGGUCAUAGUGAUCCGGUGGUUCUGAAUGGAAGGGCCAUCGCUCAACGGAUAAAAGGUACUCCGGGGAUAACAGGCUGAUACCGCCCAAGAGUUCAUAUCGACGGCGGUGUUUGGCACCUCGAUGUCGGCUCAUCACAUCCUGGGGCUGAAGUAGGUCCCAAGGGUAUGGCUGUUCGCCAUUUAAAGUGGUACGCGAGCUGGGUUUAGAACGUCGUGAGACAGUUCGGUCCCUAUCUGCCGUGGGCGCUGGAGAAUUGAGGGGGGCUGCUCCUAGUACGAGAGGACCGGAGUGGACGCAUCACUGGUGUUCGGGUUGUCAUGCCAAUGGCACUGCCCGGUAGCUAAAUGCGGAAGAGAUAAGUGCUGAAAGCAUCUAAGCACGAAACUUGCCCCGAGAUGAGUUCUCCCUGACUCCUUGAGAGUCCUGAAGGAACGUUGAAGACGACGACGUUGAUAGGCCGGGUGUGUAAGCGCAGCGAUGCGUUGAGCUAACCGGUACUAAUGAACCGUGAGGCUUAACCUU